rnacentral:rRNA from 1 species
AGAGUUUGAUCCUGGCUCAGGACGAACGCUGGCGGCGUGCUUAACACAUGCAAGUCGAGCGGUAAGGCCUUUCGGGGUACACGAGCGGCGAACGGGUGAGUAACACGUGGGUGAUCUGCCCUGCACUUCGGGAUAAGCCUGGGAAACUGGGUCUAAUACCGGAUAUGACCUCCUAUCGCAUGGUGGGUGGUGGAAAGAUUUAUCGGUGCAGGAUGGGCCCGCGGCCUAUCAGCUUGUUGGUGGGGUAAUGGCCUACCAAGGCGACGACGGGUAGCCGACCUGAGAGGGUGACCGGCCACACUGGGACUGAGACACGGCCCAGACUCCUACGGGAGGCAGCAGUGGGGAAUGUUGCACAAUGGGCGAAAGCCUGAUGCAGCGACGCCGCGUGAGGGAUGACGGCCUUCGGGUUGUAAACCUCUUUCAGCAGGGACGAAGCGCAAGUGACGGUACCUGCAGAAGAAGCACCGGCUAACUACGUGCCAGCAGCCGCGGUAAUAC